CAAUUUAAAGCUUAAGUAGAAAAGCAUUUCAUUUACACUGAAAAAAUUAAUGUGCAAAUCUUUAUAAAUUGA
rnacentral:tRNA from 1 species